rnacentral:lncRNA from 1 species
GGGAGCCACUAAGAGUUCAUUAUCUCUCCUCAUAUUUAGGAGUUCCUAGAGGUCUCUCUAUUUUAGGAGCUGGAUAGGGAGCAUGGUUGGAGAUGGGUUUUCUUACUUCCUCCCUAAAUUUUAUCUAAGGAGGUGGUUUAGAGAAACCAUUGUAAAUGCUCUAAACCCCUCGUUGGGUUGCAGCCAAUUUUGAACAUUAUGCUCUAACUCCCUCAUUGGGCUCUAACCCCCUCAUUGGGUUGCGGCCAAUUUUGAACAUCAUGCUCUAACCCCCUCAUUGGGUUUCAGCUCUAACCCCCUCACUGGGUUGCAGCCAAUUUUGAACAUUAUGCUCUAACCCCUUCAUUGGGUUGCAGCCAAUUUUGAACAUUCAAAAUUGACUGCGAUCUUAGAGGGAAAAAGAUGUUAUUUUCAUCAUCUGUACUCCAUGAAUGGCCAUAGAUCAUUCAAUCAAACCCAUGAAUUUUUUAUGACCACACAAUUUCCAGCAAUUAUUGGGGCAAUAAUGUCUGUCAGUUUGCGUAUGUUUCUGUGAGCGUCUGUAUUUAAUUUAAUUUUUUUUAAAAAUAUUUAUUAAAAAGGAAUAAACAUUAUUAUAUAUAUUUAUAAGUAAUUAUCUUAGAUAUAGAUAUUGUUUUACUAUUCCAGUAAUUAUAAGCAUUUUAUUUUAUUUAUUUUAUUUUUAAAUUUUUUUAUAUGUUCAAUUGAAUAAGAGGCUUUGUUUUAAUAUAUAUCAUUAUUGUCUUAGAAUGUAUUAUAAAACUUACAGAAACAUAUCUUUAGGCUCAUCCCUUCUCUACUUCAUCCUUUUCUUGUUUGUCCCUUGUUCUACCACAGCUCGAACUUACAGAAACAUUUCUUUAGGCUCAUCCCUCACUGCACUAAAUGAUGACAACUCAUCAUGGCAAUCACCAUCUGGUUUGCUUUCGGUUUUGGACAGAUUGGAAAGGAUGGCUUCCUACUAGCCAUCUGGUUCAACAAGAUAACCGAGAAAACCAUUGUGUGGUCAGCCAAUGGGGAUAAUCUUGUCCCACAAGGAUCCAAAGUUGAACUCACUGCAUGUUUGUGCAAAUAAUCUCACGGGAGAAUAUUCGCUUCUAGAUCCUUCAACCUUCGAUCUUCCUUCUCUCUCUUCCUCGAUUCCUGUAAAAAAGACUGGAGUAAAUAGACCACACCCGGGGGGUGUUGGCCAAAGGCCCUCCGAUGCCUAAGUUAGUUCGAGUGUUUGUAGGAAAACAUUAGCUAAGCAAAGGGUACGGAGUUUUAUGUAGGGUGUAAACCGGGUGGCCGGAGCCGUGUGUGGUGGCCGGAGCCGUGGGGAGAAAAUAUGGAGAGUGGAGAGGGAGAGAGAGCUUCGGGUCUUUUUCUCGGGUAUAAGGAGUAGGUUUAGAUGUACCUUGAAUGAUGAAUGAGGUUGUCUAUUUAUAGGAGCCUCGGGGCUAGGGUUUCGUAGGAAUCGAGUUGGGCCUGAUAAUAUCUGAAUUAAAUAUAUAUUAUCUCUUAAGAAGAUAAUAUCUGAAUUAAAUGAUAUUAUCUCUUAAAAAGAUAAUAUAUGAUUUAAAUGAUAUUAUCUUCUCUUUAUUAGGAUAAUAUCUUAAUUAAUGAUAUUAUCUCUUUAAAUAAAGAUAAUAUCAUAUUAAUUAAGAUAUUUAUCACAAUUAAUUAAUUAGCCAGAUAAACUGGUUUAAUUAAUUAAUUAAAGAGAUAAUCUUCUUUUCCACGUGGCGUGCCCUGAUUGGAGACGAAAAUAUAUGCUCCCACAAAUGCCCCCCAGCUUCUGCGUGGCGCUUGUGCGGCAGGUAGGAGAUGAAAUUAUUUUUUUUUUUGUACUCUCCAACUUUGUUUGGGCUUUCUUCUGUGAGUUGGACUCCUUUUGCAGAUCGGAUUCUCAAUUGGUGUCGACUUCUGACUGUAGUUGGAGUUGGAUUCCCAGUAGGAAUGAGCUUGUGAUUCCUUCUUGACCCGGGUUGUCCAACUUGUAUAAAUACAGGGCUUCUCUUCACUCUUUCUCACAUCGCAAACUUAAUUUCUCUACUUUCUAGCUUGAGAAAGAUAUUGGAGAAUUUUGUACUGCUUGUCGAAGAGAGGAGUUGCCGUGCAUCCCAAAGUAAGUCGAGCACGUAAAUAUUUUCUUCAUCUUCCCUUUUUCGCGGCGAAGACUAGCUGGGUGGGACCAGGCUGGUUGACGAUGUGACUGACGGCCGAAGACGGUUGGAGCGGCGGUGGCCGCUGGUUGCUACUGAGUGAGUAUUGGAAAAAAGUUGGUGGUCUGCCCCCUGCCCAAGGUGUUGAGAGAUGGAAGCAGAAUGGUCCAGUCUCUGAUGAUCUGCGGCUGGGUAGGAGGAGUGUUCUGCCGGACCCUCAUAAAGAAGGAAGGCUGAUGUCAAGUAGGAGCUGUUCCCCCAUCGUCAGCUAGGGUUAAACAUCUCGUUGGUGCAAAUAGCAAGUAGAUUGGCGAUAUGCGCAAUAUUCGGGAUGUUCCACUCAAGCCUCCUGCAGACAAGCUUGGAGACCGUGAUCUGCUAUGUAAAGUAGUCCGUGCGCGAUCUAGUUCACCUGCUGUGAGGCAAUGAGAUGUAGAUAUUAUUCUUCAAAGUUCGGUCGUCUGCACCAGUCAAAGGAUGGAGGUCGAACUAGGAGGUUUUCUCAUCUACCCAACCAUCAUGAUCCAGUAGUUGAGUCACGAGCAGUCAAGCGUGAAGUAGAUUCAGCGUCGUUGACUCAUUUGGAGGUGAGGAUGGUGGCGACCAAGAAGACGAGAUAGUCACCUGCCCGAGCUGAGGGCUCUUCUGCAACGUCAGCGACUAAUCCCAAGGUGGACAAGUUUACCCCUAUAGAGGAUGCAGGCAUGCCUGAUCUGCUCAAGACGAACUUUCUGUCAAGUCCAUCCACUUGUGCUGAGCUGGUUGAUCAAAUCCGUAAGGCUGGCGAUCUUGGUCUUUUCUCAAGUCUUUCCUUGGGAAAACAAAGGGAAGCAACAUUUCACCUGCUUCGAAAAAGAGGUGGUGGAAGAUAUCGCGAAUCAUGCAGGUGGAGUUGCUGAGAGCGUGGUUGAUCAGGCGGAUGCGGAAGAGACUGCCGAUUAAAGAUCUCCUGCUGGCGUCUCGAAGUAGAUGAAGGCUCAUUUAUUUCUUUUCAGCUUUUGUAGUCUGCUCUCUGUUUAGAAUAAUUGGUCUUGUUUGACCAUCUUCUUUUAGUUGAACUUGGCCGGUUUGAUCACUUUGCUAUGGAAAUUUCAGUUGUUUUUUUUUAAUAACUUCAAUUCGCAUAGUGUCUUGUGAAUUGCUUGAGUGUUUCUGACUCGUGGCAUGUUUAGCCUACGUCUGGAGACGUGUCGAUGAGAAUGACUCGUGAGAGUAGCCUACGUCCGGGGACGUGUCGAUGAUAUUAACCCAUUUUGCCUAUGUCCGGAGACGUGUCGGUAAGAGUGGCCCGUUUGGCCCGUUUGGCCUACGCUCGGAGACGUGUCGAUAAGGGUGACCUGUUUGGCCUACACCCAGAGACGUGUCGAUGAGUGUGGCCCGUUUUGUCUACGUCAGGAGAAGUGUCGAUGAGGGUGACCCGUUUGGCCUACUCCCAGAGACGUAUCGAUGAAUGUGACCCGUUUGGCCUACGUCCGGAGACGUGUCGAUGAGUGUGGCUCGUUUGGCCUACGUCAGGAGACGUGUCGAUGAGGGUGACCCGUUUGGCCUAUGCCCGAAGACGUGUCGAUGAAUGUGACCCGUUUGGCCUACGUCCGGAGACGUGUCGAUGAGUGUGGCCCGUUUGGCCUACGUCAGGAGACGUGUCGAUGAGGGUGACCCGUUUGGCCUACGUCCGGAGACGUGUCGAUGAGUGUGGCCCGUUUGGCCUACGUCAGGAGACGUGUCGAUGAGGGUGACCCGUUUGGCCUACGUCCGGAGACGUGUCGAUGAGUGUGGCCUGUUUGGCCUACGUCAGGAGACGUGUCGAUGAGAGUGGCAUGUUUGGCCUACGCCCGGAGACGUGUCGAUGAAUGUGACCCGUUUGGCCUACGUCCGGAGACGUGUCGAUGAGUGUGGCCCGUUUGGCCUACGUCAGGAGACGUGUCAAUGAGAGUGGCCUGUUUGGCCUACGCCCGGAGACGUGUCGAUGAAUGUGACCCGUUUGGCCUACGUCCGGAGACGUGUCGAUGAGUGUGGCCCGUUUGGCCUACGUCAAGAGACGUGUCGAUGAGAGUGGCCCGUUUGGCCUACGCCCGGAGACGUGUCGAUGAAUGUGACCCGUUUGGCCUACGUCCAGAGACGUGUCGAUGAGUGUGGCCCGUUUGGCCUACGUCAAGAGACGUGUCGAUGAUGGUGACCCGUUUGGCCUACGCCCGGAGACGUGUCGAUGGAUGUGACCCGUUUGGCCUACGUCCGGAGACGUGUCGAUGAGGGUGACCCGUUUGGCCUACGCCUGGAGACGUGUCAAUCGCUUUUGUGAACACUCCAUUGGAAGGAAAAGCUUGAACUUGUAUUGAUGUCUGUGUGACUACAUUGCUUUAUUGAACAAAAAGAUGAGCUUGCAUGAGUAACAUCAAAAGUAACUUGUCUUCAAUGGAGGUGAGGGAGACUUAGGUGCCUGCUUAGAGCCUAACUGAUAGGUGAAGAGUUUCAUGGAUAGUCCCCCUGGAGGUGAUGGGCAUUCCAUUGCCUUGGAACUUCCUUCCAUUGAAAGAUGAUGAAAGGUUUGUUUUCCAUAACUUGGUAGCUAGUGACGGCUUGGAAGGCGAAAGUCGCGUGCUUGAUAUUUCUCUUCUGUCCCCUGGUGGUCAGCCCGGGCUCUUAGAGUAAGCUAGGAUCGUGUUGAUCCAUAUGACUUUUUUCGUGGAGGCUCAUUGUUAGUUGCGUCACAAUCCUUGAUUUGUUGAAUAGCCCCCCUUAAGAUGAAUUCCGUGCAAUGGCCGUCUCUGACUAGAUCUUCGAGGUACCUUUUCCAGGCGAAGCAGUCGUUUGUGUAAUGACCAUACCCUUCAUGGAAUGUGCAGUAUCUACUGGUAUCCUUCUUGGUUAGGUUUCCCUUUAAAGGUGAUGGUUUCUUCAACCAAGGCAUGUCAUUUACUUGGGCUAGGAUCUGGUGUAUCGGGAUAUUGAACUUGGUGUAGCUCUCUGUUGCUCGAGCACCUUCCUGAGGCUGUGAUCUGCGCUUGCCGUUCUCUUUGCUUGCCUGCUUAGCUGCUUGAUCAGCCUUCUUCGCGGCAAUCUGGUCGUCGUCCCAUAGUGCGUAGCGCUCUGCUGUAGCAAAGACUUCUAUCAAUGUUUGGCGGGGAGAGAUGGUCAGCUCGCGAUACAGCUCACAUUCAAUUGGCAACCCCCUCUUGAAGGCGGAGGAUGCAAUUUGGUCAUCACAUCCUACAAUGUUUGCCCUCUCUACUUUGAACCUCUUGAUGUAGUCUCGGAGGGAUUCAUCGGACUUCUUGUGCACGUUGAACAGAUGGUCAGGGUUGAUCAUCCGAUAAGAAGUGUACUCUUUGGUGAAGACAUAAGCAAGCUCCUUGAAGCUGCUGAUCGACCCGAAUGACAGGGUGUGGAACCAGUCCUGAGCUGCUCCUCGCAAAGUCAUUGCAAAGACCUUGCACAUUAACGCGUCUUCAGUUUUGUGUAGGAUCAUAAGGCUCUUGAAAUACUUUAGAUGGCUUUCGGGAUCGGAAUCCCCUUUGAAGCAUGUGAAAGAUGGCGUUGAGAAUCGUUUUGAGGGAGCAGCUUGCUCGAUUUCGGUGGUGAAAGGUGAGGAGUUUGCUUGGUCAACCUCCAUGCGUAGUGCAUCUUCAAAAUUUCCUCCAAUCUUUAAGUCUCGAAGUCGGUUAUUCACAAGCAUCUCAACGUCUUCUGCACGCAUGGCUAGUCGGUCGCGUUGAUGGCCUUCGUGAUUUAGACGAUGUUGAUUGACUUCCUCAUUGGCUUGCGAGGGUCGACCUUCUCGGUUGCGCUGUCUAGGCGGCGUGUUGGUGGACUGCGCUUGUGAGGGAUUUCCAGUAGUUUGGCAACGAGAAUUGGUUCUUCGAGAGCGAGUAGCAGAGCGCCUUUCUUCACGGUCCUCAUUGUGAUGAUUGUCGAGUUGACCUCCCUGGGGGCCUAUCCAUUCGUGAAUAUUUCUCUGUGAGCUAGCAGCCGAGCGCCUUUCUUCUCGAUCCUCGUCUCGAUGGCCGUCAAGUUGACCUCCCUGGGAGCCUAGCCUUUCAUGAACGUCUUCAUGCUGGCCCAGGCGAGCGUGGAUGUCAGGUCUUGGGCCCAGCCUAUCGCGCACGUUGGUCCUUAAAUUCAAUCUGGAUGGGAAACUUCGUCUGCUCUGAGUGUGGCUUGCGGAUGCUUGCGACAUGUCCGCGAACUGAUCUCGUUGUUGUGCAUUUCCUUGUCUGCUUACUCCUGCUCGACCUGCUUGGUUCCCACCGAACUGCCUAUCGGCGCGUUCGUUUAUCCAUCUCUCUUCGCCCUGUUGUCCAAGGCCAAGGUUUUGAGCCAAGUUUAUUUGAUUGAGGAAUUGCCUCAUCAAAUUGUUUUGGUCGUCCAUUCUCUGAGUUAGCUAGUCAACUCUCAGAUUAAGGUCUACUUGACUUCGUGGAUCGAGAGGAGAGAAAUGUGUAGAGCCCAAUUGCACACGGGCUAGGUUUUCGUUGGAUGUGUGCGUGGGAGCAUGCGUCGAGCGUGGAGGCAAUGGAGGGAAUGGUUGAAGUUGCUCCAAGAUUGGGCCAAAGUCGGCGGUGGUAGUGAGCCCAACUAGAUGUGAGGUUCCACCAUGCUCAACGGUGGUGCUAUGAAGGUGGCUAGGUCCGGCCAUGGGGCCUUGAGAUGGUAUGACGGCGGCGGAGGCCGGUGCGGUGGUCCUCACUGCGAGUCCGGCAGGUGGCACGGUGGUUCCAGUCACAAGGGGUGGCUGCUGAGGGUUCAUGGCGGCGAGAGGUGGUGGGGCCGCCAUGUUGAUCGCAGGAUCGUGGGAGGAGUAGCUUUGGGCCGUCACGGAUUGAGCCAUAGAGGCGGUUUUGCUCCUCGUGCGCUUGCUUCCAACCAUGGUUGUUUGGAAGGCUUCGGUGGAUUGAAAAAUAGGAGGAACGGAUUCCUUGAGCACGCGUUGAGUAUAACUCGUGCUCUCAAUGAAAGCACCAAAUGUUUGUGCAAAUAAUCUCAAGGGAGAAUAUUCGCUUCUAGAUCCUUCAACCUUCGAUCUUCCUUCUCUCUCUUCCUCGAUUCCUGUAAAAAAGACUGGAGUAAAUAGACCACACCCGGGGGGUGUUGGCCAAAGGCCCUCCGAUGCCUAAGUUAGUUCGAGUGUUUGUAGGAAAACAAUAACUAAGCAAAGGGUACGGAGUUUUAUGUAGGGUGUAAACCGGGUGGCCGGAGCCGUGUGUGGUGGCCGGAGCCGUGGGGAGAAAAUAUGGAGAGUGGAGAGGGAGAGAGAGCUUCGGGUCUUUUUCUCGGGUAUAAGGAGUAGGUUUAGAUGUACCUUGAAUGAUGAAUGAGGUUGUCUACUUAUAGGAGCCUCGGGGCUAGGGUUUCGUAGGAAUCGAGUUGGGCCUGAUAAUAUCUGAAUUAAAUAUAUAUUAUCUCUUAAGAAGAUAAUAUCUGAAUUAAAUGAUAUUAUCUCUUAAAAAGAUAAUAUAUGAUUUAAAUGAUAUUAUCUUCUCUUUAUUAGGAUAAUAUCUUAAUUAAUGAUAUUAUCUCUUUAAAUAAAGAUAAUAUCAUAUUAAUUAAGAUAUUUAUCACAAUUAAUUAAUUAGCCAGAUAAACUGGUUUAAUUAAUUAAUUAAAGAGAUAAUCUUCUUUUCCACGUGGCGUGCCCUGAUUGGAGACGAAAAUAUAUGCUCCCACACUGCAGAUGGCCACUUUUUGCUCGAUGAUAUUUCUACAGGAAAAGACAGAUCAAUAGCUUCUUCUGCUGCUGCUGGCGUUGCCUAUGCAGCAAUGCUAGACACUGGAAAUUUUGUGCUGGCCAACCAAAAUUCAACCAUUCUGUGGGGCAGUUUUGAUCAAUCAACUGAUACAAUCCUGUUGGCGUGACUUGUGGAUAUUGACUUACUUUCCUUACACACCAAGAAUUCCUAUUAUAAUUGUAAUUGAUUUACUUUAAUUCCUGAUUUCCUACUGUAAAUAGAUUUAGGAAUUUAUUAUUUACUUGCCCAUUCAAGUUUCGUUAUAUUAUAAAUAUGACCUCCUACAAGGAGAAGAAUACACAGAAAAUUCCCACAAACAAAUAUCCUCUCAUAGUUUUCAUAUUUUAGCAUGGUAUCAGAGCGGCGAUCUUGGAAUUGCUGACUCUAGUUUCAAACCCUAGCCGCCGCUAUGGGGGUUGAUGAUUUUUUCAACCCUCAUGGAGGUAGCACCACUGACUCCAUCUCUCAUUCUCAACAACCAUUGUUGAGUUGAGUGCCCAGAUGGCUCCGCCCCUACAGAUGCAGACUUUGACCCCGAACCCGAUCCAGAAUCAGGAUCCUCUUUUGACGACCCCGACCUUCGAAGACGACCCCGACCCCGACCCCCACUCCGAUGAUGACCCCAACCUCGAAUUUGUCUCUGAUUCAUACCCCGAUCCCGAUUUCGACUCCGACUCCGGCCCCGACUCAUGCUCAGAUUCCGAUCCAAAUUCCUACUCAACCUGUAUCCUAUGCAUCUUCCGCUGCACAGAUUAUGACUUCUAGACUAACGACCCCGACACAUGGACCAAAUUGUGCAUAUUGUGGUAAUCCGAGACACACUUGUGAGACUUGUUUUAAAUCGCAUGGCUACCUCGAUUGGUGGUCUACACUUACAGAUCGAGGACAAUGCAAUAUGACCAGUAAUGAUACUGGUUAUGGAUUCCAUACUUCCGAUAAGAUUGAUUCCAGAAGCUUGAUAAUUGAUUCUGGUGCAACUGAUCAUAUGACGUUUGAUCCUGAUGAUUUUCUGAAUACUACACAACCUCGAUGAACCUGUAUUGCAAAUGCCAAUGGUGUUACUUAUCCUAUGACAGGGGCUGGCACUGUUGCACUCUCAUCCUCUCUCACACUGUCUAAUACUUUACUUGUUCCAUCUUUAUCCACUAAAUUGUUGUCAGUUCGUCAGCUUACUGAACAAUUGAAUUGUUGUGUACUCAUUUACCCGAGUUUUUGUUUGCUUCAGGAUAUUCACACUAAGUAGAUUCUUGGUCGUGGUACUAAAAGAGGGGGGCUAUAUUAUGUCGAUGACUUCAGUCCCGGCGUGGCUAACAGUGUGACACAUCCCUUUGAUAGCAAACAAAAGCAAAUCUGGUUGUGGCAUCGUCGAUUGGGACAUCCGUCUUUUAGUUAUAUGAAGCAUCUUAUACCAUAUUUAUUCUCAGGUUUCAAAGACUCCGACUUCACAUGUGAUACUUGUAUUUUGGCCAAGAGUCACCGUAUGCCCUACCCGUUGAGUACGAACAAGUGUACUACUCCAUUUACGUUAAUUCACUCUGAUGUCUGGGGACCUUCGCCUAUCACUGCUCCUUCUAGUGUUCGAUGGUUUGUCAUAUUCAUCGAUGAUUGUACACGGAUGACAUGACUUUAUUUGCUGAAGAAUAAAAACGAAGUGUUUUCCCGUUUUCAGUCCUUCCACAAACAGAUGAAAACUCAGUUUAAUGCUCAAAUUCAGAUUCUUCACUCAGACAAUGGUGGCGAAUUUUUCAAUUAUGACUUUCAGACUUACUUCCAACAACAUGGAAUUAUCCAUGAGACGACUUGUCCUCAGACACCACAACAAAAUGGUGUUGCUGAACGAAAGAAUCGACAUCUUCUUGAAACCGCCCGAGCACUUCUGAUUGGCGCUCAUGUUCCUCACCAUCACUGGGAUGAUGCUAUUGUCACUGCAGUUCACCUGAUCAACCGAAUGCCUUCUGGUGUAUUGACCUUUAAAACUCACUUACAGGUGCUUGCGCAAUACAGACCUCUGCCCUCUGUUUUGGUACUCACACCCCGAAUCUUUGGAUGUGUGGCUUUUGUUCAUCUCCACAAAAAUCAACGUAGCAAACUUGAUUCCUGUGCGCUUCGUUGUGUUUUUGUGGGUUAUGCCACUCAUCAGAAAGGUUAUCGCUGUUAUCACCCUCAUACCCAACGAACCUAUGUCACUUUGGAUGUGACCUUUCUGGAAUCUGAGCUGUUCUUCCAUGACCCAUCAUCCAAUUCUGCGCUUCAGGGGGAGAUACGAAGUGAAGAGCAGAAUUUGAGCAACUUGGAAAACAAAGAAAUUCUCCUAUGUACAGAAAUGAUUGAUCAUCCCGAGUCUGGAGCACGAGAUUACUCUCUGUUGAAAAGCGACCAAUCGCCCAUUCAUAGUGAUCAAUUGCCUGACCCACCUGAUCCAUGCAAAGAUAUUUCUGAUCCAAGUCUCACACCUACAGAUAAUACAGAACAACAAGAUGAAGACCCCCCUCUAACUCAACAGUACCAACAGACCAAUCUCCUGAGAAUAUCCUUGAGGUAACUACUCCUACUAGACUUAUGCAUUUAGAUGAUAAAACUAUUGGAUAUCAAUUACCUUUCAGGCAAAAUCGUGGGAAGCCACCAAACCGUUAUUCAGCUGAUAUUGGCAAGACAUCCAAGUAUCCAAUUACAAAUCAUGUAUCCACUGAGAAGCUGUCUGAACCACUCAAGGCUUUUGUGCAUCAGUUGUCUGCUAUCCAUAUUCCAACCAAGGUCUCUGAAGCAUUGAAAGAUCCUAAGUGGGUCCAAGCUAUAAAAGAGGAGAUGAAAGCUCUUGAGAAAAAUCAGACUUGGAUAUUGGAGACUAUAUCACGAGGAAAAAAGACUAUCAGAUGUAGAUGGGUGUUUACUAUAAAACACAAUGCAGAUGGAUCUAUCGAGCGAUAGAAGGCAAGACUUGUGGCAAAAGGGUAUACACAGACCUAUGGUAUAGACUAUGAAGAAACUUUUGCACCAGUUGCAAAGUUAAACACCGUCAGAGUCUUAUUGUCCCUUGCAGCUAAUUUGGAUUGGCCACUACACCAGUUUGAUGUAAAGAAUGCUUUUCUACAUGGAGAACUCACGGAGGAGGUGUACAUGGACAUCCCUUGCAGCUAAUUUGGAUUGGCCACUACACCAGUUUGAUGUAAAGAAUGGUUUUCUACAUGGCGAACUCACGGAGGAGGUGUACAUGGACAUUCCUCCUGGAUAUAAUACUACUCAGACUGGAACAGUUUGCAGGUUACAAAAAGCAUUGUAUGGAUUAAAACAGUCACCACGCGCAUGGUUUGGAAGGUUCACCAUGGCAAUGAAGAACAAUGGUUUCAAACAGUGUAACUCAGAUCAUACUCUGUUCUUGAAACAUCGAAAAGGGAAGGUAACAACAUUAAUAAUCUAUGUUGAUGAUAUGACUAUUACUGGGAAUGAUAAACAGGAAAUAUCACAACUACAAGACUAUCUGGCUAUGGAGUUUGAGAUGAAGGAUCUAGGUGGACUCAAGUAUUUCUUGGGAAUUUAGGUGGCUUGAUCGCAGCAAGGCAUAUUUCUCUUUCAAGGGAAAUAUGUCUUGGACUUGUUGAUAGACACAUGAAUGCUAAAUUGUAAACCUGCGGACACUCCUAUUGUUCAGAAUCAUCAUCUUGGAGAAUAUCCGGAUCAAGUUCCAACUAACAAAGAAAGAUACCAAAGGUUAGUAGGAAGAUUGAUCUAUUUGUCACAUACUCGACCAGACAUUGCUUAUGCGGUGAGCGUUGUCAGUCAAUUUAUGCACUCUCCAAGUGAAGACCACAUGAAUGCAAUUCUUCGGAUACUUAGAUAUUUGAAGUCUGCACCUGGAAAAGGACUUACGUUCUCAAAGCAUGGUCAUCUAAAUAUUGAUGGUUAUUCAGAUGCAGAUUAGGCAAGUAAUGUAACAGAUAGAAAAUCUACAUCGGGUUACUUCACAUUCGUGGGAGGUAAUUUGGUGACAUGGAGGAGCAAGAAACAUAAUGUAGUAGCUUUAUCCAGUGCAGAAGCUGAGUUCAGAGGCAUGACUAAAGGGAUUUGUGAACUUCUUUGGUUAAGAAAGUUGCUUAUUGAACUUGGGUAUAAACCUACAUCCACAAUGAAUCUCUUUUGUGACAACAAGGCUGCUAUAGCCAUUGAACAGAAUCCGGUUCAGCAUGAUCGUACUAAACAUGUUGAGGUGGAUUGACACUUCAUCAAACAGAAGCUUGAGGCUAAAGUGUUUCAGUUUCCUUUUGUGAAAUCCGAGGAUCAAUUGGCGGAUAUUUUGACAAAGGCGAUUUCCAGCAAAGCAUUCCACAAUUCACUAGAUCAGUUGGGCAUUGGCGACAUCUAUGCACCAACGUGAGGGGGAGUGUUGGCGUGACUUGUGGAUAUUGACUUACUUUCCUUACACACCAAGAAUUCCUAUUAUAAUUGUAAUUGAUUUACUUUAAUUCCUGAUUUCCUACUGUAAAUAGAUUUUGGAAUUUAUUAUUUACUUACCCAUUCAGGUUUCGUUGUAUUAUAAAUAUGACCUCCUACAAGGAGAAGAAUACACAGAAAAUUCCCACAAACAAAUAUUCUCUCAUAGUUUUCAUAUUUUAGCAAAUCCUACCCUCAUAGACUCUUAAUAACGGAAGCAGACUCUUUGCUCGCUAUACGGCAACAAAUUACUCAAGAGGUAGAUUCCUGUUUACACUACAAUCUAGUGGAGAUCUCAUGCUUUAUACAACAAAUUUCCCACAAGAUUAUCCCUAUUUCAGUUAUUGGAAGACCGAUACUAAUGGUAGUGGCUUUCAAGUCAUAUUCAACCACUCUGGCUCUAUUUACCUUGCUGCAAGGAAUGGAACCAUACUUAAUGUAAUAUCCUCCUAUACAUUAUCAAAGCAAGAUUUAUACCAGAGAGCAACUCUUGACUAUGACGGAGUUUUGAGGCACUUUGUCUGCCAUAAAGGCACCGGCUCAAAUGCCGGAGUUUGGUCCACAUUGUCCUUCAUACUUUCAAAUAUCUGCAUGAGUAUCUUGCAACCGUAAGGUUUUGGUGCAUGUGGGUUCAACAGCUUAUGUCAACAUGACCAAGGACAACCAAUGUGCAAGUGUCCACCUGGUUAUACCUUGAUGGAUCCACAUGAUGUGUUGAAAGGCUGCAAACAGAACUUUGCUCCACAAAGCUGUGAUGAGGCCUCAGCAGAGACCGAUCUUUUCUAUCUUCAAGAGAUGAACAAUGUGUAUUGGCAGGGAUCUGAAUAUGACAAGUUUCAGGGCGUAACUGAGGAUUGGUGCAGGCAGACUUGCCUAGCUGAUUGUUACUGCACCACUGCCGGUUUCAUAAAUGGGAAUUGUUCUUUGAAGGGAGCCCCACUUCCCAAUGGGAGGAUAGACAACAGUUUUAUGGGAAAAAAUUUGAUCAAAGUAAGGAAAGGCAACUCUACUUCGAAAUCAGCCGGAAGCGCAAAUACAAAAAGGAAAGAUGGGUCAACUUUGAUUGUUGUUGGAUCAGUGCUCCUCAGUAGCUUGGGGUUUCUCAACUUCCUCUUACCAUUGAUAACCUAUUUGAUUGUUUCUCACAUCUAUUCUAGAAAAGUUAAGGUGAUUCAGCCUUGUCCAGUCAUGCAGGGCAUGAAUUUGAAGUGUUUCACUUAUGAGGAGUUAAAAGAAGCCACAAACGAAUUCGAGGAAGAACUAGGACGGGGCGCAUCGGCAACAGCUUUUAAAGGAAAGUUUUCGUCUGAUAAUGGCAAGUGUGUUGCUGUCAAAAUUUUAGAUGCUAAGGUUAGAGAUAACGAGUUGGAAUUCAAUGCUGAGGUGAGUGCAAUUGGCAGAAUACAUCACAAGAAUUUAGUCCAAUUACUUGGAUUUUGUAACGAGGGACAUCACCGAAUUCUUGUGUAUGAGUUUAUGAGCAAUGGCUCUCUAGCAAGCUUCCUCUUUAGAGAGUCAAUGCCAAACUGGUAUCAAAAAUGGAAAAUUGCCUUGGGAAUUGCAAGAGGGCUUUUGUAUUUGCACGAGGAAUGCGGCAGCCAAAUUGUACAUUGUGACAUUAAGCCUCAAAACAUUCUUCUUAAUGACUAUUUCACAGCAAGAAUUUCUGACUUCGGAUUAGCCAAGCUUUUGAAAAUAGACCAGACUCGAAUUAGGACUGCAAUCAGGGAACAAAAGGGUAUGUGGCUCCCGAAUGGUUCAAAAACUUGGCUAUCACAGUGAAGGUGGAUGUUUACAGCUUUGGCAUUUUGCUAUUGGAGAUUAUUUGCUGCAGGAAGAAAUUUGAAGAAGAGGCUGAGGAUGAAAAUCAAAUGAUAUUAGCUGAUUGGCCAUAUGAUUUCUAUAAGCAAAAGAAAAUGCAUCUUCUGUUGCAGAAUGAUGCUGAGGCAAUGGAAGACAUCAAGGAGAUGGAGAAGUAUGUGAUGAUUGCAAUAUUGUGUAUCAAGAAGGAUCCAUUACUAAGACCCACCAUGAAGAAAGUUACAUUGAUGCUUGAAGGUACUGUUGAAGUCUCAAUUCCACCUGAUCCAUCCUGAUCAUUCAUAAAUUCAGGAUCGUCUUCCUUGUAAAAUUCUGUACUUUUGUAUGUUUGAUCAUCAAGGACUCCUGUUCAAACUGUCAUGCUUGGAACCCUAACUAAAAGUAGGGUAAUGAGUGUAUAAUAAUUAUAAGUACCAAUUGAGAUGUCUCAAUAGGAUAAUUUCUUUUUUGUGCUACACUCAAGUAAAAAGUUUCUGUUACAAAUUUUCUUCUUCGAAAAAGUUGCAUAUUUGAGGCGAGGCAUUUUUAGUCCGCUAUACAAGGUGUAAGGCUCAGUUUGGAAUUGCUGUCACUUUUAAAAAAAGUUGAUUCUGCUGUGUUUUGAAAAUAAUUAACUGAAAAGUAAAGCACUCCAUAUUUGGUAAACAAUAUUUUUAAAGUGCUGUUAGUACGAAAAGCAAUGUCAAAACCGUUUGGUAAAUUUUAAUAUAAAAUUGUUGUAACUGUGAAUAAUGACUAAAAUAGACAUGAUGUUAAAAGUGUUAUGUACUAAUCAUGUGGUGGUAGUGGUAGUGGUGGAGUGGUGGAGUGGUGGAGUGGAGGUAAUGGUGGUGAUGAAGGCGGAGUUGGUGGUGGUGGUGGUUGUAGUGGCAGCAUGGUGGUGGUUGUGGUGUUGGUUGUGGAGGUGGUAGUGGAUGUGGAGAUGGUUGUGGAGGUGGUAGUGGAUGUGGAGAUUUUGGAGGAGGAGGUGGUUGUGGUGGUCGUGCUGGUGGUGGUGGUGGUGGAGGUGGAGGUGGAGGAGGUGGUGGUGAAGGUGGUGGUGGUGGUGGUGGUGGCAGAGGAUGAGGAGGAGAAGGAUGUGGUGGUGGUGGUGGUGGCGGUGGUUGUAGAGGUAGUGAAUGUGGUGGUGCAAGUGGAGGAGUUGGAUGUGGGAGUGGAGGUGGUGAAGGUGGUGGAGGAGGUGGUGGUUGUGGUGGUGGUGGCAGAGGAUGAGGAGGAGAAGGAUGUGGAGGUAGUGAAUGUGGUGGUGCAAGUGGUGGAGUUGGAUGUGGAAGUGGAGGUGUGUCAUUUUUUAAAAUGAAUGAUUGUAUUUUGGGAAUUAAAAAAACGCAUUAAAAGUUCAUCUAUGCUUCUUUUGAAAGCUGCUUUGAAAAGCAACCCAGAGCCUGCUUUUAAAAGAUGCUGUCAAAAGGCCAAUGCUUUUAAAAUAAUCAGGAUAUUUUAUUUUUGACCAAACACCUUAAACUACUUAACUUUAAAGUGAAGCAGGUUUUUGACGGAAAAAAGCAAUCCCAAACGGGGCAAGCCAAGACUACUAAUUCUUAUUGAGCCAGAAUAUUCUAUCAAAAAUACAAGUACUAAAUAUCAUUCAAGCAUAAUAAUCAAUCUCAAAACAUAAAAUACUUAUUCAACAUCAAAAGAAAAACUCAAUUCAUGCAUCCCACUCCUCAUCAAAAAACAUAAAAUACUAUGAUUUUCGGCAUUUAUGUGUGGACUUUAGUGUUAUGUUUGGGUUUUAUGGAUAUUUUGUUGUUUGGGAAAAAAAAACAUAUAUAUAUAUAUAUAUAUAUAUGAAUCUAGCACAAAGAGAAUUGCAUACCAAAGAGAGACGCUUCAAUUUAUGGAGAGAAUUUAUACUGAAAAUACCAUCUUUUAUUUAUGUAAGAGAAAAUAAAAAAAGAAAAUACCAUUUUUUCGCUGUUCAUUUUUUGAUGCAAUGUUGUUAACAAGUGGGGUUGACAUGAUAUCUUUUACUGUCAAACGGAGAUUUUGGGAAGCGAGUUUGCAGCACAUUGGCCUUUUAUUUAUGCUCAAAGUUAUACAUUGACAAGAAAGCAAGUUUUGAGUAGCUUAAUGAAACCUUAUUCACUAGGAUGACAAGGAAAGUGAUGAUAUAAAUAGAACAGAGAGACAAAUGAAACGAAAUGAUACAACAACAAUUAUACAUAUUUAUAGUAUUGAACUUAUGAAAGAGGAGGUGGAGCUGAGACUUCAACAGUUCCUUCAAGCAUCAGUGUGACUUUCUUCAUGGUGGGUCUGAGUGAUGGAUCCUCCUGAAUGCACCAUAUUGCAAUCAUCACAUACUUCUCCAUCUCGUUGAUGUCAUUGAUUUCCUCCUCAUCAUUCUUGAAGAGCCAGUGCAGCUUCUUUUGCAUAUAGCAAUCAUAUGCCCAAUCAGCUAGUAUCAUUUCAUCUUCAUUGUCUGCCACUUCUACAAAAUGCUUCCGGCAGAAAAUAAUCUCUAACAACAAAAUGCCAUAGCUGUAAACAUCAACCUUGACUGUGAUAGGUAAGCUUCUGAACCAUUCAGGGGCCACAUACCCUCUGGUUCCCCUGAUAGCAGUCAUGCUUCGAGUCUGGUCCAAUCUCAAAAGCUUCGCUAAUCCGAAGUCAGAAAUUCUUGCUGUGAAACAGUCAUCAAGAAGAAUGUUUUGAGGCUUGAUGUCACAAUGAACAAUUUGGCUGCUGCAUUCCUCAUGCAAAUACAAAAGCCCACUUGCAAUUCCCAAGGCAAUUUGCCUUCUCUGGUACCAGUUUGGCAUUGAUUCUCCAAAGAGUAAGCCUGCUAGAGAGCCAUUGCUCAUAAACUCAUAUACAAGAAUUCGGUGCUCCCCCUCGUUACAAAAUCCAAGUAGCUGGACUAAAUUUCGGUGAUUUGUUCUGCCAAUAGCACUCAUUUCAGCUUUGAAUUCCAAAUCAUUUUCUCUGACCUUAGCGUCUAAACGUUUGACAGCAACACACCUUCCAGUAUCAGACGCUAAAACUCCUUUAAAAACUGUUGCAGAAGCACCACGUCCUAUUUCGUCCUUGAAUUCGUUCGUAACUUUUUUUAGCUCCUCAUAAGUGAAAUCCUUCAAAUUCAUGCCUGACAUGACUGGGUGAGGUUGAGUGACCUUUGCUUUUCUAGAAUAGACGCGAGAAACAACCAAAUAGGUUAUUAAUGGUAAGAGGAUGUUCAGGAACCCCAAGCUACUCAUGAGCACUGAUCCAACAAGUAUCAGAGUUGAAUUAUCUUUCUCUUUUGUGAUUGCACCUCCACCUGACCUUAAAGUAGAGUUGUCUUUCCCAAAUUUGAUCAGAGCUUUUGCAUUAACACUAGGGCCAAUCAUCCCAUUCGAAAAAGGAAGUCUCUUCUUGAAACAGUGUCCACCGGAGUUGACAAUUGCAACAGCACAAAAACAAUCAUCUAGGCAAUUCUGUCUGCACCAAUUCUCAGUUACCUCCGUAAAAUGCUCAUAAUCUCCAAGUGGAAAAUUUGUGUUUUGCAUGACUUCAAAGUCAAAAAGAUGCUCUGGUGAGACCUGGUCACAACUUUGUGGAACAAAGUUUUGUUUACAUCCUUUGCGCACAUCGUUUGGAUCAAUAGAGGUGUAACCACGAGGGCAGUCGCAAAUUGGUCCUUCAUCUCCAAGCCUACAUAAGCUGUUGAUUCCACAUGCACCACGGCCCAUCGCCCUAAAAGAAGCAUUUUUGUUUUUACAACAGCAUCUACAAUCAUGCUCUUUAUUUUUUAGUUAAAAUUUAGCUAAAAAUACACAAAAGUUAUUUUAGGAGCUCUCUAUAAAAUUUCAACUUCAAUCAUACUCUCUAGUUUAGGGAGUCGUAAAUGCUAGAAUUAUAUUUUAAUUCAACAUAAAUGGUCCAUCUAUAUGAAAAAAAUAAUAUAAAAAUGGACAAUAUUGAUUAAAGGUUUAAAAAUAUUCAUUAAAUAGGGUAGCAUUAAAUUAUAGGGAGCCACUAAGAGUUCAUUAUCUCUCCUCAUAUUUAGGAGUUCCUAGAGGUCUCUCUAUUUUAGGAGCUGGAUAGGGAGCAUGGUUGGAGAUGAAUUUUCUUACUUCCUCCCUAAAUUUUAUCUAAGAAUGUGGUUUAAAGAAACCAUUGUAAAUGCUCUAAACCCCUCGUUGGGUUGUAGCCAAUUUUGAACAUUAUGCUCUAACCCCCUCAUUGGGCCCUAACCCCCUCAUUGGGUUGCGGCCAAUUUUGAACAUCAUGCUCUAACCCCCUCAUUGGGUUUCAGCUCUAACCCCC